GGACUACUGGGGUUUCUAAUCCUGUUUGCUCCCCACGCUUUCGUGCAUGAGCGUCAGUGCAGGCCCAGGGGAUUGCCUUCGCCAUCGGUGUUCCUCCGCAUAUCUACGCAUUUCACUGCUACACGCGGAAUUCCAUCCCCCUCUGCCGCACUCUAGCCUUGCAGUCACAAUGGCAGUUCCCAGGUUGAGCCCGGGGAUUUCACCACUGUCUUACAAAACCGCCUGCGCACGCUUUACGCCCAGUAAUUCCGAUUAACGCUUGCACCCUACGUAUUACCGCGGCUGCUGGCAC
rnacentral:rRNA from 1 species